rnacentral:rRNA from 1 species
AUUGAACGCUGGCGGCAGGCCUAACACAUGCAAGUCGAACGGAGUGGCGGACGGGUGAGUAAUGUCUGGGAAACUGCCUGAUGGAGGGGGAUAACUACUGGAAACGGGCGCUAAUACCGCAUACUAUCAGAUGAGCCUAGGUUGUAUUAGCUAGUUGGUGGGGUAACGGCCUACCAAGGCGACGAUCCGUAACUGGUCUUAGAGGUGUAUCAGUCACACUGGACUGGGUACACGGCCAAGACUCCAAGGGGGGGCAGCAGUGGGAAAUUUUUGACAAUGGGCUAAGGCCUGAUCCGUCCAUGCGGGUUGGUGGAAGAAGGGUUUCGGAUUUUAAAGCACUUUAAGGUGGGAGGCUUUACCAAAAAAAUAAGCACCGGCUAACUUCGUGCAAGCAGCCGCGUUAAUAC